UACGUAGGGUGCGAGCGUUAAUCGGAAUUACUGGGCGUAAAGCGUGCGCAGGCGGUUCGCUAAGACCGAUGUGAAAUCCCCGGGCUUAACCUGGGAACUGCAUUGGUGACUGGCGGGCUAGAGUGUGGCAGAGGGGGGUAGAAUUCCACGUGUAGCAGUGAAAUGCGUAGAGAUGCGGAGGAACACCGAUGGCGAAGGCAGCCCCCUGGGCUGACACUGACGCUCAGGCACGAAAGCGUGGGGAGCAAACAGG
rnacentral:rRNA from 1 species